AAACUAGGAGCCGAAGCUGCGGAUUUAAUUGUUUCAAUUAAGUGUAGGGAGCGUUGUGUAAGCCUGUGAAGGUGCACUGUAAGGUGUGCUGGAGGUAUCACAAGAGCGAAUGCUGACGUGAGUAACGACAAAACGGGUGAAAAGCCCGUUCGCCGGAAGACCAAGGGUUCCAGUCCAACGUUAAUCGGGGCUGGGUGAGUCGACCCCUAAGGCGAGGCCGAAAGGCGUAGUCGAUGGGAAAUCGGUUAAUAUUCCGAUACUUGUUUAUGAUGCGAUGGAGGGACGGAGAAGGUUAUGCCAGCCUGGCGAUGGUUGUCCAGGUGGAAGGAUGUAGUUAGACUGAGUAGGCAAAUCCGCUCGGUUAUUAAUGAGAUCUGAUAGCAAGCCAGUUUACUGGCGAAGUGGCAAAUACCCUGCUUCCAGGAAAAGCUUCUAAGCGAUAGUCAUAAACGAAUCGUACCCGAAACCGACACAGGUGGUCAGGUAGAGAAUACCAAGGCGCUUGAGAGAACUCUGCUGAAGGAACUAGGCAAAAUGGUACCGUAACUUCGGGAGAAGGUACGCUGCCGGUGGUGAAAUCCUCGCGAUGUAAGCUACUGGCAGUCGCAGAUACCAGGCUGCUGCAACUGUUUAUUAAAAACACAGCACUCUGCAAACACGAAAGUGGACGUAUAGGGUGUGAUGCCUGCCCGGUGCUGGAAGGUUAAUUGAUGGGGUUAGCGUAAGCGAAGCUCUUGAUCGAAGCCCCAGUAAACGGCGGCCGUAACUAUAACGGUCCUAAGGUAGCGAAAUUCCUUGUCGGGUAAGUUCCGACCUGCACGAAUGGCAUAAUGAUGGCAGCGCUGUCUCCAGCAGAGACUCAGUGAAAUCGAAAUCGCAGUGAAGAUGCUGUGUACCCGCGGCUAGACGGAAAGACCCCGUGAACCUUUACUACAGCUUUACAUUGAACUUUGACCUAACUUGUGUAGGAUAGGUGGGAGGCUUUGAAGCAGAUACGCCAGUAUUUGUGGAGCCAACCUUGAAAUACCACCCUGGUUAUGUUGGGGUUCUAACUUAGGAUUAACAAAUCCAAGGACAAUGUAUGGUGGGUAGUUUGACUGGGGCGGUCUCCUCCUAAAGAGUAACGGAGGAGUACGAAGGUGCGCUCAGAACGGUCGGAAAUCGUUCAAAGAGUAUAAAGGCAAAAGCGCGCUUAACUGCGAGACCCACAAGUCGAGCAGGUACGAAAGUAGGUCUUAGUGAUCCGGUGGUUCUGUAUGGAAGGGCCAUCGCUCAACGGAUAAAAGGUACUCUGGGGAUAACAGGCUGAUACCGCCCAAGAGUUCAUAUCGACGGCGGUGUUUGGCACCUCGAUGUCGGCUCAUCUCAUCCUGGGGCUGAAGCAGGUCCCAAGGGUAUGGCUGUUCGCCAUUUAAAGAGGUACGCGAGCUGGGUUUAGAACGUCGUGAGACAGUUCGGUCCCUAUCUACCGUGGGCGUUGGAAAUUUGAGAGGAUCUGCUCCUAGUACGAGAGGACCAGAGUGGACGAACCUCUGGUGUUCCGGUUGUUUCGCCAGAAGCAUCGCCGGGUAGCUACGUUCGGAUGGGAUAACCGCUGAAAGCAUCUAAGCGGGAAGCCCACCUCAAGAUAAGAUUUCCCUAAAGAGCCGUUGUAGACUACGACGUUGAUAGGUUGGGUGUGGAAGUGUAGUGAUACAUGUAGCUAACCAAUACUAAUUGCUCGUUUGGCUUGACCAU
rnacentral:rRNA from 1 species